GGAGGCCCUCGGGCUCCUCGAUGGGUGUCCCCCAGCCUCCGCCAGCUCCUCUUCUUUCGCCCUCUCUUCCCUCGUAGCCCCCUGGGCCACCUCUCCAGCUCCUUUGGAUCUCAGACCCAGGUCCUGCCUCGUCCUCCACCUACGGUUGUGAAUGAGCGGGUUGGGGGGUUGCUUCUCCCCACCGGCUGCGAAGUAGGCGGCCAGUGGCAGGUGUUUGGGAAAGAGGGGCUCCUUCAGAAGUCAGGUGGGCUUGACGUGGGUGGGGGGGCGAGGGCCUAGGCGGUAGCCUGAGGACAGGAAGGUGCCCUUAGAAGCAGCUUAACUUGUCCUGGCUGAGGAUUGGCGUGUACAUUUUUUUUUUUUUUUUUGAAGCCAAGUUGUAUUUCAGAUGUUGGCCCUGGGCUAGGGGGCGGCAUCAUUUUGUCAUGUGAAUUGUUCCCUGCUGGGUUCUUAAGGUUUUCCUGGGCUCACCUGGAAACCCAACUAUGGGUGGUUUGUUGGGCUGGUGUGUUCUCAGCUCUGAAGGUUUCAGAGCGGCCGGACCUUCCCUCUGAGAUCGCCUUGAAGGUGCUGGGCCUCUGCUUCCCCAGGGGAUCAAACCAGCGGCUUUCUGGAGCAUUUCUCCAGGGGGAUUUUAGCUCAGAGUAGACCUCUGCACAUCAGGGCUGACUCUCGGUACAGGGUCCUGGCCUCCGUGCCGAGUACUCCCAGGCCUGUGCUGUCUCAGAGUCCUCGGAGGCUCUGGAAGGUCAGCUGCACGCACUGCAUGUUGCAGAUGAGGAGACUGCGCCUCGGGAAGUAGCCGGGCUUGAGCAGGGCGUGCACUCAGUGCGGGAAGCUGGAGUUUGUGUCUCUAAGGCCCAUGGUCUUUUCAUGACUGGGUGUCACCCUCGCCCACCUGGUGCCCUUUUUCAUCCUCCUUGCUGUCUCCGAGGGUCCCAGGACACACGUCUUCCUUCCAAAGUCUGAUUUCACCUGUGUCCCGGGAGAGAAGCUCCCCGAGGAGCCUUUCAGCUGCUCAAGCCUGAAAGGCGUCCCCGCAGAAGGCUCACUGGUCCCAGAGCUGUGUGUGCUUCCACGGGGUGCUGCCCACCCAGCAGGAUCGGGCGCUCAGGCCGCACGAGGAGGUGGGGCGGUUCCAGAUAGUUCUAGGUGGUGAGCAUGGGGAUCCCCUCACACCUUACAGAACAGCUGGCUGUCUCCCCCAUGUAUCGGUCCAGUGACCCCUUAGAAAAAAAUGCCACAUUCCCUGAGUCUCAGUUUGAAUCCCCGGUGUCUUGCUGCCCCUUUUCCUCUUAUUGGUUAGUAAAUUAUUACAUAAAUACAUGCUUUUCCUGUUUGCCUUUUUGUUUCCAAGAAUUUCCUAAAGUCUGCUAGUGAACCCUUGGUGCCGGAACACUAGUUAUCUGGUAGAUGGACGGCCUUGGGCUAAUUACGCCCGUUGCAGUAACACAUGGCGGAAUUCGGUCUUCACAUCAACCUCACGACGUGAGUUCUCAGGUCCCUGUGCCACAGAUUGUGGAAACAGAGACUCAGAGAGGUGCCAGGCCAUUGACGCAUAUCAUUCGGUCCUCACCCUACGUCGAUAUAUGAGUGAUACUUGAGUUUUGGGAUGAGGAGCCUGAGGCUUGGCGGUGGGCAUCUUCCUGGCUCAGGUUAUACUGCUGAAGGGAAAGAGCUGAGCUUCUGACUGAAAUCUGUGUCGUCUCCAGGUCUCCCCUCUCUCCCACUGGGCGUUGCAGUUCUGACCCUGGAUCCCACACCUGCUGCUGGUCACGUCUGCUGGUGCGGGACCCUAUGCUCUUCCUCAAGCUUUCUCUUCUAGGCACGAGAAAUGGACAGGUGCCUGAUGCUGUGACACAGAAUCAUACACCCAUGUGGGUGAGCAGGGUGCCCUGCCUCCUGCCCUGUGCCUGCCCGGGCACACUGGGGCUGGGUGUGCUCUACCUGGAGCUGUCAGGGGUUUAGUGACAAAUUCACUUCCUGCCACAAUGUAUCAAGUCACUUGUCUUAAUGAUUUAGUUUGAUCUACUAACACCCCUAAAACCAUGUAGCCUUACUAAGUCACACUGAAUAUCAGUCAAAGCAAAACAGAAACCCCACUCCAUUACAGCCCUCUCUGGAAAAAACAAAACCAAACCCCUAGGCUUUUACUAUGAAGCCUUCUGGAAAUGUUUUCACAUCCAUUGCCAUGCUUGACAGCCUGAAGGAGCUUUCAGGAAUCAUUAUAAUAAUAUAGUAGCCACAAUUUAUUAAGCUUUUCUUUGGAGCCUGGUACUGUGCUGAGGUCACAGAUUUCUAAUCCUUAAAACAGCUUUGCAGGAGUUUCUGUCCUUGGUAGGAGGUAAAUGUUAAGGGAAGAUCAAUAAAUGCUCCAUUUGCACAACUGGUUUAUCGCAGAGCGAAGCCUCAAACCAGAUCUGUUCGACUCCACUGUCUUAGGCAUUCUAGCCUGUUAAAAAAACUGUAGACAUGGAAUGAAAAUUUGUAAAUUCAUAGUUUAAAAAUAUAUGCAUACAUUUUCAUUCUUCCUUUCUUUCUUUCUUGCCACAUGUGAGGCCCAUGGAGGUUCCCAGGCUAGGGAUCCAGCCGGAGAUACAACUGCCGGCCAACACCACAGCCACAGCAACUCAGGAUCUGAGCCACGUCUGUGACCUAUACCACAGCUCACGGCAACACCAGAGCCUUAACCCAUUGAACAAGGCCAGGGAUCGAACCCGUGUCCUCGUGGAUACUAGUUGAGUUCAUUUCUGCUGAGCCAUGAUGGGAACUCUUAAAAUAUAUUUUCUGCCUUAAGGACAAGAAUAUGAAUACCGCAUAUAUAAUUAGUCAGAUAUUUAAUUUCUGCUUGCGCUCUUUCUCCUAGAAGCAUGAGGAGGUAGAGGGAUUUGCCCCACACAGCAUAAAUUGUUACCCAGGGUGAGUUAAUUUGUGUUUAUUUCUGAAGCAGCAGUGGCUGCUCCCCGAGGGCCUAACCCCGUUUGACUCUUGUAGGAUAAUUGCUAUGUCAGUCCGUCUCCGAUGUUCCAGGCCCUGGGAAGUUCCCUUUUUCUUGCAGUCACCGUUCUUUCUCACGACUGUGUGAGCUGCUUGGAAAAUGGGGAAUCCUGUAGAGUCAUUCCCUUCUCCAGCCACUCAGCUCAGCCUUUUCUUUGCGUGGCAGUGCUGGUUCUGAGCCUCUCCUAUUCCUGUUUUGAGGACAGGGCUUUGACUUAGUGAUUUGUUUUUUUGUUUGUUUUUUUUUUGACUUAGUGAUUUGUUAAUCCCCAAAGACUGGGAGCCAGAAGGAUGAACCCCAUUUUUGUUUUUUUUUGUUUUUUUUUUUUUGCUUUUUAGGGCCUCACCCACAGCAUAUGGAAGUUCCCAGGCUAGGGGUCCAAUCGGAGCUGCAGCCACCGGCCUGCGUCACAGCCAGACAACUCAGGAUCCAAGCUGCGACUGUGACCUACACCACAGCUCACGGCAACGCGGGAUCCUUAACCCACUGAGCGAGGCCAGGGAUGGAACCUGCGUCCUCAUGGAUGCUAGUCAGAUUUAUCAACUGCUGAGUCACGACACGAACUCCAGGACAUACCCCAUUUAAGUGAACAAAUGAGCAUGCACGCCCACGCAGUGAGGGGCCCUGAAGAAUGAGGCCAAGGUGACCCUGGCUCUGUGUGGAGAUUGGAGGUUAAAGAAAGUCUGGGAGAGGUAUUGUCCGUAGAAUUGACCAGACACUGGGGAGGGGUGUCAGAACGUGUAAAAGGUCAGGGGACAUAAUGUCUUCUUGGCAUUUUGGAGGCAGAAGGUGCCUUAGAGGUCGGCGAGAUGAGCCACAUUUUCCAGAUCAUUGAGAGUUUUCAUCAGCCUGCAGUUUGCAGCCCGUGCCCACUUCAGGGCACAGAAGAACCAGGCACAUCUCUUUAAAUGAGUGUUUUUAUUGAUUUCAGCACUUACGGAUCAUUGCAUUGUGCUUUGUUUUGAGUAAUUGAUUUUCUUUGUGUUUGAGCCCUAAGGGGGUUUUGGCAGGAAGGAAACCAACUUUAAAAAUUCUGGAACCUCAUCAGAGAACACACCACCUUCAGGUGGAAGAGACUCACCCCGGACUGGACCUUGUGAAGCCACACUGGCCACCUGUGCCCCUCCCCUUCCCCACAUCCCACUCUUCCUUGUUAGCUGCUCUGUUCAAGAUGACGUGUACAUUUGCUGACUCUUAAAAUCGGGUCUCUACCAGGACCUAACUGAUCUGUCCGUCUUUUCCGCAGCACCGCCCUUUAACAGCCGAGAAGGUUCCCAGCAUCUUAGGUUUGCGUGGCACCUGACAGUUGAGAGAAUUUCUGUGUCUGCUGUCUGACAUUGAGAGGUACUGAUAAAGUGACCCUAGCUCAGAGACGUUAACUUGCUUAAAGUCUCACAGUGAGUGAGUGCCAGUUAGGUGUUGAUCCCUGGUGAGGUGACUCUGGGACAGUGGCUUCUUCUACGAGGAAGACCAUCUUUUUCCUUUAAAAGUCUCCCUGGGGACGAGUCGCUCCAUCUGUACUUGUUCAGCUGGCCUAGCAUUCCUUGAACUUGAGGACUCACUUCCCACUGUGUCCUCGGGUGCUGCCCUGACUGCUGCAUGGCCAAAGCGGAGGACGAAGGGGCUUGUAAGUGCUCAGAUGCUCCCCAGCCCAGUGAGCUUGAUUGUCAGGCUCAAUUCUGGCUCAAGCACUUAGCAGAAAGAGCCCAACAGCAGCUCUCCUGGGGGGCCUUGCCAAGGAGGCCUGUGAGAUGUCAGAGCCACAAGCUGGCAGAACAGCGGCAGGAUGUCCGCGUUGGCGUGGCAGGGGAGUGGUGACUGCCCUCGGUGUGCAGCUGGGGAAACCCAGCCUCAGAGCGGUCCCCGCAGUCAGGGUGAUGGGACCGGGGCCCCUGCCACCCGGCAUGUUCCUUUUCCACCACACCCCCUUGCAGGCUCUUAGUAGCAGGAAUGAAGAGGUCCCACCCAGAAGUGCAGGGCCAGCUAGAGUCAGCGAGAAAAGGCAGAAGAUUGGCCGGGGUGGCUGUGGGCACCGCAGCGCCUUGGGAGAGUGCUCUUGGAGGAGGGUCCCCUCUUGAUUCACCUGACACACAUCCUCUUUCGCUGCUUCUGGCUGCUCUUUGUGGAACCCUUCUUGUAUGCGGGAUACUCUCAUUGUAGCCUCUAGUUUUUCUAAAGUAUUUGCUGUGUGUUAGAUGCCAUUCUAACUGAACUGUGGCUGCUCCUUUAACCCCCCUCCUGCCGCCACCACCAUUUAAGGUAGGCAUUGUUCAUGGCCACUUACUAACUCUGCUAUUUUGGACACGUUACUAACUUCUCUGUGGCUUAGGUACCAGUUCCCAGCACCGCUGGAGUAUUUAUGCUGUCCUGUUGCAGGAGGCUGUUGGGAGGGUGAGUGAGCGGAUGCAAGUGAAGCCUCAUGAACUCCUUAGUCUGAGGGGUGCCUCAGGGCCUCAGUGAUGCAGGGCAAGCCACCUGCCCCUCUGAGCCUGUUCUCUCAUCCGUAGAAUUUGUAUGGUAGGUACUGAAAAGAUUGACGUGAGGCGAGAGUGAGAUGAUGAUGGCUCCAGGCGCCUUAGGGUCUGUGGUAAAUGCUCCAUUAGACGGCAGAUACAAUCACCGUCCCCAUGGGGAUCUAGUUCGCACUCUUUUAUGUGUAGAGUUGAUUAUAGAGUCCUUCCUGUUAGCAAGGCUGGCCCCAGCCACUGUAUAAACUUAGCAGAGAGGAAGUUGCCCUGUGGUGCAGCAGGUUAAGGACCCUGUGCGCGUUUGAGCCCUGGCCCGGAAACUUCCAGAUACCAUGGGUACGGCCGAAAAAUAAAAAAAUUAAAUUUUUUGGAGAAAAGGAGACUGUUUCUGUCAAAGGGAAAGAUUUCAGAUUGGAGGUAGAGGAAAGUUCAAAGGUUAUUAUAAAAACCAAAGGAAAUGCAAGAAAACAGGUGUGGAAACUCUCACAGAGACUGUGGGUAAGGUUCUUCCAGCCUUUGUUGCUUAAAUUUUUUGGGGGUAGAAGGAAACCGCUACCACCUACGUACCCACCUAGCUUUCAUUUCCUGAGUGGGUUAUAGAGCUGUCUUAGUUCAGGCUACCAUAGAUGUGGUGGCCUGUAAACAACAGAAAUUUGUUUUUCACAGCUCUGGAGGCUACACGUCCAAGAUCAGGUGCCACGAUGGUCAGGCUUUGGUGAGAACCCUGCUCCGGGCCGUGGACGGCUGUCUCCCGCUGUGUCCUCACAUGGCAGGUGGAGUCAGGGACUCUCUGGGGUCUCCUCUGUAAGGGCACUAAUCCCAUCCAUGGGGCUCCACCCUCUUGACCUGAUCACCUCCCAAGGCCCCACCUCCUAAUACUGUCACAGUGGGGGUUAGGAUUUCAUCGUAUGAAUUUUGAGGGGAUGCAUUCAGACCAUUGCAAGAACUAUUUUUUUUUUUUCUCCUGCUAAUUAUCAUGGACAGGUUAGGACUUGAUUAUUUGGGAAGGCCUAGAAUGCUUAAUUAGUGUUCAGAAUUCAUCAUUUUUAACGGUGGUUCUCUUUGGAGUGUGUUCAUUUUUGUUACCCUGUGGAGACUUGUUUUUGGAAAAGCAGUAUGUUGUGUUGAUUAUCAGGGAGGAAUCAGAGGCAACCAAUGAACCCAGUCCCCAUUAAAUGUGAGACUUAGGUCAAAAUUGAUAUUCCGUAAUCUCUUUGAAGCACCAUUCAUUGGGAAUUAAGAUGAUAGUAGUAGUAAAUAGAUGCUGAAACUUUAAAAACAUCAUUUAACUUGGAAAACACAUGAACGUCUUAAAAUGUUUUGGAAUCUCUCUGUCUUUUUUUCUAGCCUCUGCCGUAUUUUCUUGCUUUGACUGUCCAAGCCUUCAUUGCUGUUACAAGUUCUGAAGGAGUUCCUGUCGUGGCUCAGCGGUUUAUGAAUCUGACUAGUAUCCAUGAGGGUGUGGGUUUGAUCCCUGGCCUCACUCAGUGGGUCCAGGAUCCGGUGUUACCGUGAGCAGCAGUGUAGGUCACAGACGAGGCUCGGAUCCAGCAUUGCUGUGACUGUAGUGUAGACCUGCAGCCGUAGCUCUGAUUCAGCCCCUAGCCUGGGAACUUCAUGUGUCACGGCUACGGCCCUAAAAAGACCGAAAAAAAAAGUUCUGGAGUGAGUUUGUCUGAGUCUGACUGCUUAGCUGUUUGUCAUUGCCCCUGAUACAGAGGUUCUCAAAGGAUGGCCUUUGGGGUUUCUGGGGUUACCAGGACUCAUGUAGGGACCCUGUGAGGUCAAAACUAUUUUCCUAAAAAAUAAUACAAGGCAUUAUUUGCCCUUACUCACUCUUACUCUCUCAUGCAUAUUUAGUGGCAUUUUCCAGAGGGGGUGUGGUGGGCAGGGGUGUCAUCCUCUGACAGUUAAAUGUGUGUUCUUGAGUUUGGAAGGUUUCUCAGUUUUAAUUUCUCUUGCGGUAUCAAUAGAUAAAACCCACUUUAAGACGGUAACAAACCCCUUUGGGAUGUUCUGACUCGGUCAGGAUGUAAAGAGGUCCUAAGACCAAAAGGUUUGCCAAGCCUUGCUCAGCUGGGCAGAACCCUCCACAGCUGGCCGCCUCAUGGGUCACUGGCCAGCCAGCGGGGGAGCCUCUGAGUCCGCUGUGUGCCCCGGGCUAAGGUGCCCAGCCCCGGCAAAGAGCAGUAAGGUCUUUCCUUCCAGAGAGGGGACACCGGGUGGGACUCACGUGUCCUGUACAGACCCCCAAGCCUGUUCCGUUUCCUUUCCGCCAAGGACCUUGUCUUUCUGAAAUGCAGUGGCGUCAGCUUGUCUUUGUUGAGACACAGCAUCUUUUUUGUGAUACAUGUCAUUUCAACGAACACGUAAAGCAUUUUUUCAAAGGACAAGGGUGUGCUGGGGUGGGAUCCCUUCUGGCAGCUGUCUUGCAAGGGUGGUUUGCAGAAUGGGAAUACAUUAGGCAUUGUGGAGCUAGUGAUUUUCGUCAGAAAUUCAACGCUUCAUCCACUAGAUGAAACAUUGCAUUCCUGCUGGUUUCCUGGUGAUUUUCUUUACAGAACUUCAAAGGUCUUGUGAAAAAAUUCGGCGAGCUGCUCCCGGUCUGCGUGGCAGAAUUGUAAUGGCACCAACUGCUCUUUCAGAGCCUCUUCCCCCUUUUCCUCCUCCCCCUCGGUGCUUUGCCACGAGACCAGCCCUUCCCUUCCUUCUUCCUGGCCUGAAAUCCUGCCUUCCUCUGACAGCCGUUCGAGGUAUAGACUGCGGAGGAGGGCGAUGGUUAGCAUCAGCCUCUGUCUGAUACGAAGGAGGAAAGCGGCAGGAACUCGGCAGAGCCCCGUUGGUCUCCCGCCGAUCCUGCCCAAGCCCAUGCCCACGGCAAAAUCCGGGCACUCUGCUCCCUCUGUUUUUGUUGCUGAUGUGCAGGCUUGUCUUUGUCUAGACUAGAACUAGACUGAAAUCUACAUAAUGACUAUGUCGUGCUGGUUUUUUAUUUGUAGUGGUUAUGCAGUGCCUAUUUAAAGAGCACCUGUGAGGGAGUUCCCUUCGUGGCCCAGCGGUUAACGAAUCUGACUAGGAACCAUGAGGUUGCAGGUUCGAUCCCUGGCCUUGCUCAGUGGGUUGAGGAUCCGGCGUUGCCAUGAGCUGUGGUGUAGGCCACAGAUGUGGCUCGGAUCUGGCGUGGCUGUGGCUGUGGUGUUGGCCGGCGGCUACAGCUCCGAUUUAGACCCCUAGCCUGGGAACCUCUAUAUGCCGCAGGAAGCGGCCUUAGAAUAGGCAAAAAGACAAAAAAAAGAAAAAAA
rnacentral:lncRNA from 1 species